UGCGUAGGCGGCUUUUUAAGUCAGUGGUGAAAUCUUGCCGCUUAACGGUAAAUUGCCAUUGAUACUGAAGAGCUUGAGUCCAGUUGAGGUAAGCGGAAUGUGUAGUGUAGCGGUGAAAUGCUUAGAUAUUACACAGAACACCAAUUGCGAAGGCAGCUUACUAAACUGUCACUGACGCUGAUGCACGAAAGCGUGGGGAGCGAACAGGAUUAGAUACCCUGGUAGUCCACGCCGUAAACGAUGCUCACUCGCUGUUUGCGAUACACAGCAAGCGGCCAAGCGAAAGCAUUAAGUGAGCCACCUGGGGAGUACGAUCGCAAGGUUGAA
rnacentral:rRNA from 1 species